ensembl:lncRNA
AUGCGAAACUCUUUGAAGUUUUCAAACAUGCUCCAGGCAUCUUUUCAGAGGAUCACCCUGAAUCUGCUCUUCAUCAAGGCUUCCCCAGGCCAUUACGUACAUUCUAUCGGCCUCUACUGGUCUGGGAGCGUAGGGAGACAAGACAGUUAUUUUAAGUUCAGAUCAGCUCCUUCAUUCACUGCACUGCCUAGCAUCACUAAGAGCUACAGUGGGACAGCCACAGGGACACCUCGAGGGCAGGAACAAAUGGCAAGUGCUGGGAACCGCCUUCACCAGUACUGCUGCUGCUGCGAGAAAUGUCUGAAGAACAACAGCCUCCAAAAUGAAAGGAACUAGGGAAGGCCAUCUAAUCCAAUAGGCCUGGGCUUGUUUUGAAGUUAGAGGAGUGGUGCCAGUUUUAAAAAUGCUUUUAAUCUUUAUUCUGCCAUGAAAAUUGCCUUUACAUACAUUAUUUAAAACUUUUCCAUUCAUCCAAAGUUGUGCAUGCUGCUGUAGGGAAAUGCAGACUUUGUAGUGAAGGUUUCACUAACAGCAUAUCAACAGUUGCAUGUGCUUCUUCUUUUCCUGGUCCUCCUCCAAAUCGGUAAGGCUCUGCUCUUUGAUACCUAAAAAUGUCGCUAGAAAGCUGGGAACUGAUCAGCUGCAACAUUCAAAAAUUAUGCUGUUAAAGACAGAUCUCUGGUAUUACUGAGAGGGAUACAGCAUUGACUAAAGACUGUUUCUCAGUUGUUCUAUUAAUUUGUAGCUGGACAACAUUAGCUUUGCAUUUUUUAUUGCCCUACGUGCUUUUGAAAAUCACCCUAGCUGGCCAAAGUUGUUCAAAACCUUUUGAAGCCAAAAAAAAAUUCGACAGAAUUGAUGCUAGAUCAGGUAGUCAAAGUCAAACAGAGUAUUCUGCCCAUUCUCUAUUUAAGGGUUCUCAUUGCUAGCCCCUCUCCCUUGUCUUGAAGAGCACUGCUGACAAUGUCUGUGUCUGUGUGCUUCAGGCUGGGGAUGUCUCUGGCCAAGGCUAGUCCUGAAGACUGGGAAGAAAUAUGGUAAAAGAGAAAGGCAAUGGGGGUGGUCUACUGUGGAUGGGAUGGUGGACAAGCACUUAACGCAUGUGGGCGGGAGAGAAGAGCCUACAGAGAUCAGAUGAGACUUGGCAAGAUGGAUGUAACAGCUAUAGGAUGAGCAGAGCAAGCCAAAACAAGCUUGAAGCAUGGCCAGAUGUCAAUGGACUGCCCAGUGGAACAGAUAAACAUGUUUAUACUGUCCAGUGAGGAGAGAGAUGGAAGUUCACGGAGAUGACAGCUGUGGUAGAGAAGUCAAUAGAGAUCAAUAGCACCUAUCUGAAGCGUCACGUGUCUUUGACUAGGAAAAGGAUGGGUGAAAUACCUCGUGCAUCCUGCCAGACUAGCUGACAACAACCAAAAUGAGACAUUCAUGAUGGUACACAAUGCACAACAGAUAAUUCUGGUUGACUGAGAAGUAGGAGAAGCUGAAACGGGGUGUAGGGCAGAGAACGUCUACGUGUUGAUAGUUUCAAAACAGAUACGGAAACUCAUGCGCUAGGUCAGUGUCCAUUAGCUUAGGGGAAGAAUACUCUAAAAGGCAGCUACAGCUUCCUAAAUGGUGCUGACUUUACAACCCCAACUGAUUGGUGGUGACCAGGGAUACCACUCCUGUAGUGCACAGCAACUAUCUCCUCAGUCCUCAGAAAGUGGCAUCUCUAGCUGUUCCGAGGCUAACAGCACAGCCUUUGAGAGCAGGUACCAGAUGAGGGUCUGCAGGUGGGGGAACAGAAAAUCUGAAAAUCCUGCUAGGAUUUAAGAACUGAGUGUCCAAGCACCCGGUAGUGUCAUGUUUUAAGCAUUUUUGUUUGCGUGCACCAUCAAAAACUUGCUGAGUUUAACAGACAUGGAACACUAUUCAUGAGGACUCCAGUGUUAGCUAAGUGCUUGGCUCAGGUACUCGUUAGCUGCUCAACUUCCUCUAACAAAUUGUCUCUGAGUCAGCUGCAGAAGAAUAAAAAGUGAAACUGAGAAUACA